UUUGGAUUGGUCUGCGGUGUUGCAUCUUGUGUCUAUAAAAUGAGCAGCUCAGGUUGCAGUCUCCCGUGAAGCUUUCAUCCAUGUAUACAGCAUCAAUUAGUAGAACAUGCCUGACUCUAAUCCACCAGUCAUAAAGUCAUCAAAAAGAGAGUUAGCGCAAGCAAAGGCAGCAGCGCAGUCAUCAACUACAUGCACCAUUUAUUCACCUACUACGGAGUUGGGAUAACACGUAUGAACCUGAAUUGUGAUAACUGCAGUGGCCAAAACAAUAACAAUUUUGUGCUCUGGUAUUGUGCCUGGUGGAUCAUGCACAGGCUCCACCACAAUCUGGACCUUCACUUCCUGAUCACAGACCACCUCAAGUUUGCACCCAACUGCACCAAAGACCAGAGUGGACACUUUGUCUGAGAUUGCUGGUGUUGUGAAGGACAGCACUGUGACAGGGGUCAACAUCCCACAGCUGGUUGGACUGGAGGAUGGUACAGUGCUGGUGGAAAGCUAUGUAUGGCAACAACACCUGACUCUGUACUUCAGGCCGCUGCUACAGAUCAAGCAGUACCAGCACUUCAGUAGUUCCCUGUUUUACAGCUUCGCCCUCCAGGAUACUUGUGUUGUCGCCAGGGAGCGUUCGGACUGUCAAGACCAGGUUUCAGCUGCUGCGUAACGCUGACAUCCUUCCUCCCAUAGAUGGUCUGCCUGUAAAAGCACCACCUGGACUGGACACAGCUAGACAGUCUUUUCAGAAGAUCAGGGAGUUUAGCGAGGAAGAGGCUAUGGACAUCCAUCACAUGCCCCGCACCAAAGUCAAGGGCAGGACAGAAACAGAAUCUCCGAGUAUAGAUUCCCUUGUUCAUGCGUGGUUUGGACGGACCAGGCAUCAGCGCUAUCUGCAGUGCCUCUAUUCACAUGACUCUCUCCUAACACACACGCCAUACGUUGCUGAUACUAUUGUUUAUCCCGCUGCUCAGCCACUUUACCCCUGAUUGUAUGCCUAUUAUUACCUCGUCUAUCACUGAUAUCGUUAUUGAUAUUGUUCUUGUACAUACUGUAUAUUUUAUUUAUACUGACACUAUCUAUUUCUGAUAUUGUUACUAUGCAAGUAACCAUUCGGCUGUGCAGUUUACACCUUCUGUAGAGACCACCCACUUAGCAAGACUUAGCAAAAUAUUGAUAUAUGAAAUUAAUAUUGAUGUCUGGUUGUAACAGGAUUUUGUGACAUACCACAACUGUCACGACCAUGUGUAGAGACGGAUCAAGGCGCAGCGGAGGUUGAGUUCCACAUCUUUAUUUCUAAGUGAAACUUAAGAUAAACAAACAAUAAAGAAACCUGACUAAGUGAUGCACAAAACACAAAAUAAUAUCCCACAAACACAGGUGGGAAAAACAGCUACUUAAAUAUGAUCCUCAAUUAGAGACAACGAUUACCAGCUGCCUCUAAUUGGGAAUCAUACAAAUCACCAACAUAGAAAAUAAACUUAGAACACCACAUAGAAAUAAAUAAACUAGAUCACCCCCAGUCACACCCUGACGUACUUCACCAUAGAGAAACAAUGGCUCUCUAUGGUCAGGGUGUGACAACAACAAUAUCAUGUGACUGUAUCAAGUGUCCACCAAAUAAAUGUAUGGCGCAUGCAGCUUUUUAUGUACAGUACUGUACAUGUGCAAAAAAAAAAACUCACUCGGGUUGCAUGGACUUAACUUAUGUAUGGAAUACUAUAUGAUAAGUGCACGUGUAACAGUAUACAAAGUAUGCUAAUGUACUGGUGUGAAGGCAUUUGGGCAGUGGUGUAAAGUAAUUAAGUAGUACUUUAAAGUAUUUUUACUUAAGUCAUUUUUUGUGAUAUCUGUACAUUACUUUACAAUAACAAAUUUUGGCAACUUUUACUUCACUACAUUCAUAAAGAAAAUAAUGUACUUUUUACUCCAUACAUUUUUCUUGACACCCAAAAGUACUCGUUACAUUUUGACAGGAACAUUUUCCAACUCACACAUCCCUGUACAUCCCUACUGCUUCUGAUCUGGCAGACUCACUAAACACAAAUGCUUCAUUUGUAAAUUAUGUCUGAGUGUUGGAGUGUGCGCUUGGCUCUCCGUCAAUAAUAAUAAUAAAAUAGUGCAGUCAGGUUUACUUAAUAUACGGAAUUUGAAAUGGUUUAUAUUUUUACUUUAACUUUUGAUACUUAAGUUCAUUGUGCCCCUGGCUAUCCGUCAAAUAAAUAAUAAAAGCAAAAUACAAUUGUGCCGUCUGGUUUGUUAAA